rnacentral:miRNA from 1 species
AAACACCAGUGUAUAUUCUCUU